GAUGAACGCUGGCGGCGUGCCUUAGACAUGCGAGUCGAACGGUACUGCAUUGCAGAACUGUGGCGGACGGGUGAGGAACGCGUGAGAACGUAGCGAGUGGUGUAGUAUAGCCUUCCGGAAGGAUUGAGAAUGCUGCAUAUACUCGCGGGUGAGAGGGGCUUAACCGCUCGCCGAGAGGGCGGCCCGCGUCGUAUGAGGUUGUUCGUGAGGUAAUUGCGUACGAAGACUAUGACGGGUAGCUGGGCUGAGCUGUCGGACAGCCACACUGGAACUGAGACACGGUCCAGACAUCUACGGAUAGCAGCAACCGUGAAUCUUGGACAAUGGGAGAAACGCUGAGCCAGCGACGCCGCGUGGCGGAAGAAGGUCUUCGUAUUGUAAACACCUUGUGGCCGGCGUAAUGCGGGCAGAAUAAGCACCUGCCAACUACGUG
rnacentral:rRNA from 1 species